GGCAGGUGGUAUCCCCUCUUCAGCCCUAAUAAGCACUGUGGCGUUUAUCUCCCACUGGGAAGCCACCCAGCCUGUCGGCCUGUUGCACUGUGCCCUGGCUCAUUGCUUGCCUGGUAAGGGGAGACCUCGGCUGAGCAGCACAGGCGCUGUGGCCUCCGAGCCCCGGGGUCGGAGUCGGAAGGCGAGGCUGGCGGACGCGUUUUAAGGAGGUGCUCUUCUGCUUAGAACCGAGUGUCACGUGAGUGCAGGGCGCGGGCUCUGCUCUACGCGGCAGCGCGUCCACCCGCGGCCUUUCUACUCUCAGCUGUCCAAGGUCGGGGUGGGGGGGCAGUUGGAGAGCACUGAGAAAAACAACUGAAGAAGAGGACUGCGGGCAGCCCCGUUUGUUAAAUUGUCCGGCUCCGCCCUCCGCGAAUGAUGCUUAAUAAUCGCCUUUUGGUGCUGACCCCUCCGCAGGUGUGCUGUGUGCAGCAAAGCACAAGGCCUGGGGCCAGGAAGGCGAGCGUCCGCUUCUUGUUAGCUAAGCUUUCACUAAUGCCCUACCACAUAGUCCCUGGAUCGGAAUUGUGGCCGUACCAACUCUGCCCGGGGAUGGCACUUUUAACGCUCUGUAAAGAGUUACAUGAACAGCGGUCAUCGAUUGGAUAGUGUCUUCACACUGUGGCAGUAGAAAUCCCUGAAGUUGGAGUUGUGCAGUGCACAGCCUGGGUAGCCAUACAUGGCUAGCCUGACUAGAAGACAAAUUAUGUGGCUAUUGGUGGCAGUGCGGUUGCCGGGCAGGGCUCUAAUCCACUGUGUGGGUGGGCCCGGAUCGGGCCCUGGAAUUCUGACAGCCCCACGACGCGGUGGGGAAUUAAGUGCCCUGAGCCAUCCCUUCGCAACCUUUUCCAAGGUGGGAAAUCAACAUCCCUGCCUGCUCUCUACAGAUAAGACUGGCCUGGAGCGUGGCUGUGGCCAGCUUGAGUGGAAGAGCACAUGGCCCUUUCCGGGGGCUCCUGCUGGCCGGGCAGCAACACAGUCACAGCAGCAGCCUGAGAGCAGCCUGUGUGCGCAAAGCGCCUUGUGUGCACCAGGGCGGCGCUACUGUCAACAAGAAGCUGCCUGCCGGGGGUGGGGGUCAGGGGCCAAAGUCAGCCCUCAAGAGGGCAAGCUUGUAUCAGGCCCCAGUACCCCUCAUGGCCCUUAAAUUGUCCCCGUGUUCAGGGCACAUGGUUGGAUGUCAGUGCCUGAACUAUAGAAUUACCUGAAGUCUGAUUUUGCUGAAUGUCAUCACUGUAUGUUCAAUAAGUAAGUGUAGUCACUGUCCUACUUCACCCCAGGCUGGGACAAUGAGCAUAGGAAUAGGCAGCAACAGUCACAUUGUGGAAUUCUUUCUCUUCUCCUUCCUUCUUUCUGGUCUCCCUCCUCUUUUUGCCCUAAUACACAGAAAGGGUGGGACUGCACCCCUUUUCUCUCUCCCUGCCUGCACACUGGCGCCCUCCUGUGAGGCGUGCCUUUUACUGCUGUGUUACCAGGAAGGAUGCUGACCAGCCCAGGGAGGUCUGGAUAAGUUCUCAACGUUGCACAGCCUGGAGCCUGACGCCAGAGCAUGUGAGCUGCCCGCUGGGAACAAGCAGGGCUCUCCCUAAAUCUGCCAGGCUGUGACCUACGACAGUGACCUCCAUAUCCCCUGCAACGGACUGCCCUUGAGUCUCAGACCCAACUAAUGAUCCAGCUAUCAUCAACUUGGGCCUCACUUUUAAAAAUGUUUCAACCAGCACAGCCCGGCGAUGUAACAGCCGAUGUUGUAUGCACAUUAAACACCAAAUGAUUGUUAACAUAUUUAUUGAAGCUUAACAGGCAUCCGAUAUAUAAAAGAUGACUCUCUUACAGGGCUGUCAGACCUCAAUAAGCAUGUUUAAUAAUUAAUUGGCAUUAAGCAAACACAAUUGUGCGAUUCUAAAUUAAAUGUUCAGUGAAGCGUAUUGCGAAUACAAAGCUACAAUGGUGUCUGUUACUUAAAGUUCAGGCUGGCUGGCUUUUCCGUCCCAGGGAAAUGAGCAUAGGCGGUGCUGGGCAGUGGGGCUUCCUCCUUGAAGCCCCUCCCACCUGAGGACCCGCUCUCAUUUGGCUCUAGGUUGGCCCUGCUGAGUCUCCUCCACUUCCUGGGCCAAGAGUUGUGCGGCGGGAGACACCUGCGCAUUUCCGCUUUCCGGUGCCGAACCAGUUCUGCAGUAAAUGAAUUCCGUGAAGUCGCCCUUGGACUCUGAGUUUGCAGAUACUGAACUGUGAUUCCUGGGGUCCACAGGGAGCUUCCUGUGAGCCUCUGGCCACACAACCGAUCAACUAUAACCUGUGUGCUUCUGUUUAGAGUCGCCGUAUUUAAUAUAUAUGGUUAAUUCAUUAACGUGAACCACGGAGGAGCCCAACAGCGCCGGCACUCAGGCCUGAGGGAAGCUUACUCUGCACAGGCGCAUCGAGGCCUCCCGCUCUUAGGGCCAGCUGUCAGCCGGACGCCUGUGGCCCCUCUCAAAGGACCCCUUCCGUACAAAUGAGUGCAGCCACCGUGUGGGUCCUCAGAAGCAAACACCAGAUGAUUCAGCUGUCUCAGCGCUGGGUAUGCAUAGGAAGGAAAUGAAAUCAGUGUGUGAAACAUUCCUGUGCUCAACUCUUCAUGUAAGUGCUUCUCGUACUAGCUGAGAUGUGGAAUCAACCUAUGGGUCCAUCAGUGGAUGAAUGGAUAAAGAAAAUGUGGUUCACAUACACAAUGGAAUACUACUCAGCCCUUAAGACGAAAGCCCAGCAUUUGUGACAACAUAGAUGAAUGUGGAAGACAUUAUGUUAAGCAAAAUAAGCGAAGCACAGAAAGACAAGUACCACAUGAUCUCAGUCACUUGUGGAAUCUAAAAAGUUAGCUCUUGUAGAAGUGGCGAGUAGAAGGGUGGUUACCAGAGACCAGGGAGGAUGUGGGAAAGGAAGAUGGAGGGAGAUUGAUCAACAAGACCAUAGUUACAGUUAGGAGGAAGAAGUCCCCAUGUUCUGUGGCACAGUCGGGCGACUAUAAUUAGCAGUAACUAUAGCAUUGUUUAUUUCAAAACAGCUAGAGGGGGGAUUUUGACUGUUCUCUCCACAGAGAAAGGAUGAGUGGUUGGGGUGCAGGGUAAGCUGACUGCCCUGAUGUUUACAUAUACUCAACCAGCGCAUUGUACCCCAGGGGCCUGCAUGGUUAUGAUGUGUGCGGGGGAGCUGAGGGGAGAACAGCAAGAUCACAAAAAAAGAAACAAAAAUGUGAAAACGUGGCACUAAGUAGACCUUGAAAAGGACCCAAGCUUAUAACGUGAAGGUGGAAUUGAGAAGGCAGAAGAAGGUGGCCUCGUUCGACCUCAGCUGGGAACGUGCAUGUCGGGCACUGGAUCUCUGACCACGCAGCGCGUGUCCAACAGCGACCAUGAUGUGGGGUUAAAAUGGGUUUCACUGGGUAGGCACUUUGCAAACACAGAAGCCGUGGACAAUGGGUGCGGCUGUGGCAGAUCGCAUUACACAGAGCCGCCUGCUAGGAAGUGCCCGCGUCCGCUGCCCGAGCUGCACACACCGCGCUGGGUCCCAGGGGUGCGACCGCUCACGGUGUCCAACACAUAUUUAUUGGAUUCAAUUGAGUCGUUUUUAGGAAAGGAUCCAAACUAAAUGUCAUCGGAAAACGCUUUUGCUUUUCUUUAGUCAUCAUUUCUUUCCGAGUUCAUUGCUGUUAUUUAUUACUUCUCUUUAGUUAAUAUUCUACCACAGCUUAAAUUAACUUCAAUGUCUCACCUGCCCCUAAAUACUUGAGAGACUGAAUAGUAAGCCACUGACUGUAGCAACAACUAAUGUCUCAAGAUUCACGCAGGAAAAAGGAAGUGUAUGCCCCCAGCUCGGUCACACGUGUGUGGUAGUGAAAAACUGUCUCUGGGACCUUGUCCGUGUGUGAACAACCUGUCCUUGCGUGCCCUGCUGGGAGGGGUGGAUUGAUGCUUGAAACCUUAGAAGCAGCAUCAGGAAGCAGUCCUGCAG
rnacentral:lncRNA from 1 species